AUGUGGCGUGCUCAGGCUGCAUGAAACCGGGUUCCGGAUACCGCCCUUGCCAUUGUGUUGGAGAGUUAGCUUUUGCUCAGUGGUACUAAUAAGGAUGAUAAAGGAAAUCCGCAGCUAAUCCAAACAUCUCAAGUAUUCAAACAUGGGCCUUAAACACUUCCGAUGCUUAGAGGAGAAUGGACAGAAAAAUACCUUUGGUUUUCACAGCCUCAGUAGUGAGAACCACUGGAGAUUCCAACGUGCAUCUCCCAAACCCGAGAAGGUGGAAGGGAGAUAAGGAGAGAACAGGGGCUGCCAUCUGUGGUGCAUUGUAUGCAGGAAUUUCUGGGAACAGGAAAGCUACCAGAUCCACUGCAGAUGAUCCUCCAGUGGUAGAAUUCCAGGCACUGCAGCAUCUAAAUGGAGAAGAUAUUUUGGGGUCCUGGGGUCUGUGGGGAAGCUGAUAGGAGCUGACCCAGCCUUUAGAUCUCACCACUCAGGCAGCUGCCUGCCUCCAGUCCACUCCCUAAGAGGCGCUACUCAGGCGCUAGUCCAUCCCAGACAGUGGCAGGAGGCCAGGAGCUGCUUGCUCGGCUUCCUUAAUUUCAAUGUCCAUCUGGGUUUGCAGAAAGUGUCAGCGACAGGGUCUCUAGAAACUGACAGUGAGGGCCCAGGUAAUCCAAGCCUAUACGCAGUCCUCAGGAUUUUCCCUCCCUGGGGGCUGUUCUGAGUGUCAGUGUUAGAGGUGCCUUCAACUGCAGUCACAGGAUUGAAGCUCCGUGCCUCGGGCAAGUUUUCCAAAAAAGGCUCCAAA